rnacentral:rRNA from 1 species
UACGAAGGUGUCAAACGUUGUCCGGAAUAACUGGGCGUAAAGGGCGCGUAGGCGGUCGCGUAAGUCAGAUGUGAAAGCUCUGGGCUCAACCCAGGAAUUGCAUUUGAUACUGCGUGACUCGAGUUCGGUAGAGGAGGGCGGAAUUCCAGGUGUAGCGGUGAAAUGCGUAGAUAUCGGGAGGAACACCAGCGGCGAAGGCGGCUUUCUGGACCAAUACUGACGCUGAGACGCGAAAGCGUGGGGAGCAAACAGGAUUAGAUACCCCGGUAGU